rnacentral:lncRNA from 1 species
AAGCUCAACAAGACUUAACCGACAGGGAGUAAGCUACUCCACCACUUCUAGACAUGCAAGGCUCUUUGGCUAAGGGGUUUGUUUGCCAAAAGCACUAUGUAGAUCCUUCUUUUCAAAGUUUUAGCUCAGAUUCUAAGUUCAUUAUCCGGUCUAAGUUAGCAACUUACUCUAAGCAAACAUAGAUCCAACCAAGAGGGGUAUAUAAGCAUCAUCAAGACCAUGUCAUCAUCAGAUUUCAUUCUUACCCAA